AUUGAACGCUGGCGGCAGGCCUAAUACAUGCAAGUCGAACGGUAACAUAAAAGAAGCUUUGCUUCUUUUGAUGACGAGUGGCGGACGGUGAGUAAUAUUUGGGAAACUACCUGAUAGAGGGGGGACAACAGUUGGAAACGACUGCUAAUACCGCAUAAAGCCUGAGGGUGAAAGCAGCAAUGCGCUAUCAGAUGUGCCCAAACGGGAUUAGCUAGUAGGUGAGGUAAAGGCUCACCUAGGCGACGAUCUCUAGCUGGUCUGAGAGGAUGAUCAGCCACAUUGGGACUGAGACACGGCCCAGACUCCUACGGGAGGCAGCAGUAGGGAAUAUUGCACAAUGGAGGAAACUCUGAUGCAGCCAUGCCGCGUGUGUGAAGAAGGCCUUCGGGUUGUAAAGCACUUUCGGAGGGGAGGAAAAGAUGACGUUACCCUCAGAAGAAGCACCGGCUAACUCCGUG
rnacentral:rRNA from 1 species